rnacentral:lncRNA from 1 species
GUGGGGCGCACCGCGGGACUGUGGGGCGAGGGCGGUCGCCCGGAGCGCCACACCCUCGGAGCAAGACUGCAAUGCCCGGUCCCCACAAAAAGGAACACCUCCAUCUUUCACCCCGAGGCCCGGCCCCGGGAAAAGUUAGGCGGGGGGGAGAGGGGGGACGUCGGCGCGCACAGAAAGCCGGCGGAGGGCGCUUUAGGACGGGUCGGGGCGCCGGGCUCUCGGCCCCCAUCCCCGGGGCGCCGGCCGGGGCGGCCCGAAGCUCCGCCGCGCCGUCGGGUCUCCGCGAAGGCCGGCCGCGGCUCGCAGGCGGGGACAGGGGCCGGGCCGGGCGGCCGAGGCGCCCCCUCCCGCGAGCCCGGAGGGAGCGGCCGUGCGCGCCCGCCCGCUCUUUCUUUUUCGCGUCCCUCCCUCCGCUGCCCCCGCCCUCGCUCCCUAUUUGGAGCGGAGACACCCCUGACGUCGGAGCCGCUCGGCUCGCCGCUCCCCCGCACCGCGCGCCCGCCCGGGGCCGCAGACGGCGCGCAGCGCAGCCCAGCCGAGCCUCGCGGGGCCGCCGCCAGCCCUGCCGGCCGCCUCCCGAGCCUCCCGGGGGCGCCGGGCCUGCCGCCCCCGCCGCCCGCACGCAGCUCCGCAGGAACCGGCGGGCGCGCCGCGCUCCCCGCCCGCCGCUGCUGCCGCCGCGCGCGCGGUAAGUCCCGCCCGGGCCGGCACGCGGGCGCCCGGCUUCCAGAGGCUUCGGCCGCAGGGGCAGCGCCGCGCCCCCGGGCCCGCCGGGGCACGGUGCGGAGGCGCCUCCGGACGCCGGGGCCGGGGCCGUGGGCGCGGGGCGGCUGGGGGCACCGCUGCGCCCCGAGCCCGUCCCCGGACUCGCCGGGGGGGUGGGGGGUGGGGGGUGGGGGGUUCCAGUCCUUGCUGGGAGUUUCGGCGGCCGCGAGAGAAAGGGAGGGAGGUGCGUGGCGAGCGCACGCCGGGCGGGUCGAGGGCGGGUCGGGCCGCGCGGGCGCCGGGGCAGCGGCCGGGGUUCGGCCGCGGGGCUCGCGCGUCUCCCCGGCUCUGCCCGGGCCUCGCGGCGCGGCGAGCCGCUCCGCUCCGGUACGUUUCUGCCUCCUUUUUGUCCCUCUCCUUGUCUUUCUGUCUCCCCAUCCGACUGCCUGUGUCUCUCGUCUCUCUGUUUCCGUCCCUUUCUUUCUGUUUCUUCUCCCCUUCUGCCUUCGUGUUGGCUCUCCCUGGGUUCGUGCCUCUCCGCCUUUCUGUUCUCUCUGUCUCUCCGUGCUGCCCCUCUGGGCGAAUCUCUCCAUGUCUCUGCGUCUCCCUGAUCCCCCACCCUCAAACUCCGACAGUCCCCCAGUAUGGGCGGCACGAACCGCCCUCCCCCCCCCCCCCAUUGGGGUUCAUGAAUAG